rnacentral:rRNA from 1 species
GACGAACGCUGGCGGCGUGCUUAACACAUGCAGGUCGAACGGAAAGGCCCCCACUUUUUUGGUGGGGGUGCUCGAGUGGCGAACGGGUGAGUAGCACGUGGGUGAUCUGCCCUGUACUUCGGGAUAAGCUUGGGAAACUGGGUCUAAUACCGGAUAGGACCAUGGUUUAGUGUCUCAUGGUGGAAAAAUUAUUGUUUUGGUGCAGGAUGAGCUCGCGGCCUAUCAGCUUGUUGGUGGGGUAAUGGCCUACCAAGGCGUCGACGGGUAGCCGGCCUGAGAGGGUGGACGGCCACAUUGGGACUGAGAUACGGCCCAGACUCCUACGGGAGGCAGCAGUGGGGAAUAUUGCACAAUGGGCGCAAGCCUGAUGCAGCGACGCCGCGUGGGGGAUGACGGCCUUCGGGUUGUAAACUCCUUUCGUUAGGGACGAAGCCGCACCUUUUUUGGGUGUGGUGACGGUACCUUUGUUAAGAAGCACCGGCUAACUACGUG